rnacentral:lncRNA from 1 species
CAGAAGUUCCUCUAGGUGCGUUGUACUCUCUGGUUUUGUUGCCGAAUAUACCAAGAUAGGACCACGCCAAACAUGAAAACUUGGAAUUGCCGCCAAAGAGGGCUAAAUACAGGGUUUCUCUUGUGCAGCACUGUGAACAGACUCAGAAAUGUGAUCCCAGGGCACCAUUUGCAAAGGAACCAUAUUGACAUAUACAGCCCACUUGUACAAAUGCAGGUAAUGUUGAAGGCUGGGUUCCUCACUGUGAUGUUAGGAGGGGGUGAUAAUUUUUUUUCCUUUUCCUUGCUGAGAAGAGAGCCAUGCUAUUUUUAAAACUGCCACCUCCCAUAAGAUACAAUGUUUUUUCUGAGGCAACAUGAGUAGUUUGCUAGGCUUUGCAAAAAUGAUAAUGGCUUCCACUCUGUGACUUUUGGACAAGACUGGGAAGCAGAGUAUCAGCCAAGGAGGCAUAAUACAGUGUUGUCAGAGGAACAGAAUAUGAGGUUGUUGGAAGUCAAGCAUUGCUCAGGAGCCAUUGAAAGUCAGGACCACUGUCUGCAAAAAAGCAGAGUCACCAUUUCACACUAUUAUAACACUUUACUUCAGAAGGGAAAUUAUAUGGAAUAGUUUGAGCUGAUUCAUAGUUUCAUCCCCACAAGGGACAAGCCCAUGUGUCCUCCUUAUCCAAAUUGGCUUAUGUACUGUUCUUGUUUUGGUCCAUAUGUGGACUUGUCCUGCCACAGCAGCAGUGAGAAGAAUUAUUAUAAUUGAGAUGGGCAGAAAAGGAAGUGUCUUCCUCUAAAUAACUGGGGUUUUCUAAUAACAGGACUUCGUACAGAUGUAUGAAGUUUUUUUGGUGGUGACAAUCACACAUUGCCUAAAUACAGAAAUCUAUUUCCACUGUAAAUCACUUUAAUGGAGCAGCUUUUCUGUGCAGCCCAGCUGAGUAAUGGCUAAACACUAACAGUACCUGAAAUCUGUAUUUGAUCUGCCUGGAAAGAGUUUGAUCUUCUGCACUUAAUUCCUGGUGGAUAGGAAUUCACAUCAUGAGAAAUACCAUCAUAAUUUGUACUAAUUAUAAUUCCUGGGAGUGAGGCCAAAUACAGCCUUGCAGACUGUGUAAUUCUCACUCAGGAACAGAUGAUUUUGGCAGAGGAGGAUGUCAGGCAAGCAGCAUGCAAAGGGGCUCUCCUAAUGUACCUGCUACCUACAUAGGCAGAGCCAGACCCCGGAGCUGUUGCUUCAGCAGCUCAGGUAAUGGGACAGACUUUCACUGCAAAAAAGCCAAAACUGUACAAAAAAAAAAUCUAGCAAACCCAAAAUAUCUGACUGU